UACGAAGGGGGCGAGCAUUGUUCGGAAUUACUGGGCGUAAAGGGUGCGUAGGCGGAUUGGAUAGUCAGAUGUGAAAGCCCAAGGCUCAACCUUGGAAUUGCAUUUGAAACUGUCAGUCUGGAGUAUUGGAGAGGAACGUGGAAUUCUCAGUGUAGAGGUGAAAUUCGUAGAUAUUGAGAGGAACACCAGUGGCGUAGGCGACGUUCUGGCCAAAUACUGACGCUGAGGCACGAAAGUGUGGGGAGCAAACAGG
rnacentral:rRNA from 1 species